rnacentral:rRNA from 1 species
CGAAUGCUGACAUAAGUAACGAUAAAGCGGGUGAAAAGCCCGCUCGCCGGAAGACCAAGGGUUCCUGUCCAACGUUAAUCGGGGCAGGGUGAGUCGACCCCUAAGGCGAGGCCGAAAGGCGUAGUCGAUGGGAAACAGGUUAAUAUUCCUGUACUUGGUGUUACUGCGAAGGGGGGACGGAGAAGGCUAUGUUGGCCGGGCGACGGUUGUCCCGGUUUAAGCGUGUAGGCUGGUUUUCCAGGCAAAUCCGGAAAAUCAAGGCUGAGGCGUGAUGACGAGGCACUACGGUGCUGAAGCAACAAAUGCCCUGCUUCCAGGAAAAGCCUCUAAGCAUCAGGUAACAUCAAAUCGUACCCCAAACCGACACAGGUGGUCAGGUAGAGAAUACCAAGGCGCUUGAGAGAACUCGGGUGAAGGAACUAGGCAAAAUGGUGCCGUAACUUCGGGAGAAGGCACGCUGAUAUGUAGGUGAAGUCCCUCGCGGAUGGAGCUGAAAUCAGUCGAAGAUACCAGCUGGCUGCAACUGUUUAUUAAAAACACAGCACUGUGCAAACACGAAAGUGGACGUAUACGGUGUGACGCCUGCCCGGUGCCGGAAGGUUAAUUGAUGGGGUCAGCGCAAGCGAAGCUCUUGAUCGAAGCCCCGGUAAACGGCGGCCGUAACUAUAACGGUCCUAAGGUAGCGAAAUUCCUUGUCGGGUAAGUUCCGACCUGCACGAAUGGCGUAAUGAUGGCCAGGCUGUCUCCACCCGAGACUCAGUGAAAUUGAACUCGCUGUGAAGAUGCAGUGUACCCGCGGCAAGACGGAAAGACCCCGUGAACCUUUACUAUAGCUUGACACUGAACAUUGAGCCUUGAUGUGUAGGAUAGGUGGGAGGCUUUGAAGUGUGGACGCCAGUCUGCAUGGAGCCGACCUUGAAAUACCACCCUUUAAUGUUUGAUGUUCUAACGUGGACCCGUGAUCCGGGUUGCGGACAGUGUCUGGUGGGUAGUUUGACUGGGGCGGUCUCCUCCUAAAGAGUAACGGAGGAGCACGAAGGUUGGCUAAUCCUGGUCGGACAUCAGGAGGUUAGUGCAAUGGCAUAAGCCAGCUUGACUGCGAGCGUGACGGCGCGAGCAGGUGCGAAAGCAGGUCAUAGUGAUCCGGUGGUUCUGAAUGGAAGGGCCAUCGCUCAACGGAUAAAAGGUACUCCGGGGAUAACAGGCUGAUACCGCCCAAGAGUUCAUAUCGACGGCGGUGUUUGGCACCUCGAUGUCGGCUCAUCACAUCCUGGGGCUGAAGUAGGUCCCAAGGGUAUGGCUGUUCGCCAUUUAAAGUGGUACGCGAGCUGGGUUUAGAACGUCGUGAGACAGUUCGGUCCCUAUCUGCCGUGGGCGCUGGAGAACUGAGGGGGGCUGCUCCUAGUACGAGAGGACCGGAGUGGACGCAUCACUGGUGUUCGGGUUGUCAUGCCAAUGGCACUGCCCGGUAGCUAAAUGCGGAAGAGAUAAGUGCUGAAAGCAUCUAAGCACGAAACUUGCCCCGAGAUGAGUUCUCCCUGACCCUUUAAGGG